rnacentral:rRNA from 1 species
UACAGAGGUCUCAAGCGUUGUUCGGAUUCAUUGGGCGUAAAGGGUGCGUAGGCGGCGCGGUAAGUCGGGUGUGAAAUCUCGGAGCUUAACUCCGAAACUGCAUUCGAUACUGCCGUGCUUGAGGACUGGAGAGGAGACUGGAAUUUACGGUGUAGCGGUGAAAUGCGUAGAUAUCGUAAGGAAGACCAGUGGCGAAGGCGGGUCUCUGGACAGUUCCUGACGCUGAGGCACGAAGGUCAGGGGGGCAAACGGG